GAAUGGGCUUACUCUUUUUGUCGCCCAGUCCCAGGUAGCAAUGAUCAUCAGUAGUGCCCGACAAUGAAUAUUCAGCAAUCAACACAGCACAUAUAACAACGAGAAGAAAUACUAUACCUGAAAAUUUGAACUGAUGCUUGCCUGUUGUUCGAAUAAAUGCUUACUCAAAAGAAAUAAGAUACUUCUUAUUGCU